rnacentral:rRNA from 1 species
AGUCUGGUGCCAGCAGCCGCGGUAAUUCCAGCUCCAGUAGCGUAUAUUAAAAUUGUUGCAGUUAAAAAGCUCGUAGUUGAAUCUCUGGUGGGAGGGAUCUGCCUAACACUUUGGUGCUGGGAUGUGGUCCUCUCCUGCCAUCUUCGUGAGUAUUUGUCUGGCAUUAAGUUGUCGGACUGAUAAUCCCCGUCUUUUACUGUGAAAAAAUUAGAGUGUUCAAAGCAGGCUUAUGCCGUUGAAUACAUUAGCAUGGAAUAAUGAUAUAGGACUUUGGUGCUAUUUCGUUGGUUUAUGCGCCAUAGUAAUGAUUAAUAGGGACAGUUGGGGCAUACGUAUUCCGCCGUCAGAGGUGAAAUUCUUAGACCGGCGGAAGACGAACUACUGCGAAAGCAUUUGCCAAGGAUGUUUUCAUUAAUCAAGAACGACAGUGCGGGGAUCGAAGAUGAUUAGAUACCAUCGUAGUCCGCACCAUAAACUAUGCCGACUCGGGAUCGACAGUCGUUUAUCGUAACACUGUCGGCACCGUGUGGGAAACCAAAGUCAUUGGGUUCCGGGGGGAGUAUGGUCGCAAGUCUGAAACUUAAAGAAAUUGACGGAAGGGCACCACCAGGAGUGGAGCCUGCGGCUUAAUUUGACACAACACGGGAAAACUCACCAGGUCCAGACAUAGUGAGGAUUGACAGAUUGAGAGCUCUUUCUUGAUUCUAUGGGUGGUGGUGCAUGGCCGUUCUUAGUUGGUGGAUUGAUUUGUCUGCUUAAUUGCGUUAACGAACGAGACCCCCGCCUGCUAAAUAGUUAGGUGAAUGUUUUUUCAUUCUCCAUAGCUUCUUAGAGGGACUUCCGGUGACUAACUGGAGGAAGUUGGGGGCAAUAACAGGUCUGUGAUGCCCUUAGAUGUUCUGGGCCGCACGCGCGCUACACUGAUUCAUUCAACGAGCUUAUAACCUUGGCCGAGAGGCCUGGGCAAUCUUUGAAAAGUGUAUCGUGCUAGGGAUCGAUCAUUGCAAUUUUUGAUCGUGAACGAGGAAUUCCUAGUAAAUGCAGUUCAUCAAACUGUGUUGAUUACGUCCCUGCCCUUUGUACACACCGCCCGUCGCACCUACCGAUUGAGUGGUCCGGUGAAGACUCGGGAUAGUGGCCAGAUUCCUUCAUUGGACUUUGGCUACGAGAACCUGUCUAAACCUUAUCACUUAGAGGAAGGUGAAGUC